rnacentral:rRNA from 1 species
AGAGUUUGAUCAUGGCUCAGGAUGAACGCUAGCUACAGGCUUAACACAUGCAAGUCGAGGGGAAACGACAUCGAAAGCUUGCUUUUGAUGGGCGUCGACCGGCGCACGGGUGAGUAACGCGUAUCCAACCUGCCCAUCACUUGGGGAUAACCUUGCGAAAGUAAGACUAAUACCCAAUGAUAUCUCUAGAAGGCAUCUGAAAGAGAUUAAAGAUUUAUCGGUGAUGGAUGGGGAUGCGUCUGAUUAGCUUGUGGCGGGGUAACGCCACCAAGCAACGAUCAGUAGGGGUUCUGAGAGGAAGGUCCCCCANAUUGGAACUGAGACACGGUCCAAACUCCGUACGGGAGGCA